rnacentral:rRNA from 1 species
UACGGGAGGCAGCAGUGGGGAAUAUUGCACAAUGGGCGCAAGCCUGAUGCAGCCAUGCCGCGUGUAUGAAAAGGCCUUCGGGUUGUAAAGUACUUUCAGUCGUGAGGAAGGUGUUAAGGUUAAUAACCUUAGCAAUUGACGUUAGCGACAGAAGAAGCACCGGCUAACUCCGUGCCAGCAGCCGCGGUAAUACGGAGGGUGCGAGCGUUAAUCGGAAUUACUGGGCGUAAAGGGCACGCAGGCGGUUAAUUAAGUUGGAUGUGAAAUCCCCGGGCUUAACCUGGGAAUGGCAUUCAAGACUGGUUAGCUAGAGUCUUGUAGAGGGGGUAGAAUUCCAUGUGUAGCGGUGAAAUGCGUAGAGAUGUGGAGGAAUACCGGUGGCGAAGGCGGCCCCCUGGACAAAGACUGACGCUCAUGUGCGAAAGCGUGGGGAGCAAACAGGGAUUAGAUACC